UCAGGUCCUGCCCCAAUAUGCGUGGGAGAAAUUUGUGGGCUUGGGGGAAGGGGCUUUGGGGGGAUCAACACAUCCAGGCCCUAGGCCCAAACCCACCUCCAGGGGCUGAAUUGCCUUUGGCAACCCUGCCAGGCCGGGAGUGCAGCAGCACCCUUUACAGAGACACGCCACCUCGCAUCAGGUCCUGAGCCCAUGCUCUCCCGGGCAAUCUUACAAGAUGGGUGUUUUGCAGAGGUUAAGUGGGUUGUGUAAAGCCGGAGGGCAAAGAUCUGCUGGAAACUGCCGGCUCCAGCGGCCAGCGCACUGACGAGCCCCUCUGGCGCUCGAGGGCUCCGCCGCAGCGAGGUUGGUGGGUCAGAAGACUCCAACCCGGGAGCCGGACUCGCGACGGUGGGGAAGGCACGCAGGCCCAGCUGGCCGCGCCCCUGCCGAGAGCAGCGCAAAACUACACCUCCCAGGGUUCCCAGCGGUGCCACGGGCGGGGGCGGGGGCGCGGAGACGCAGGGGAGACCUGGGGUGGUGCGGCGGCUGGGCAAAGGCGCCCCAGGGCCGAGAGUCCUGCUUCCCGGAGCGGCAAGACUGAGAUUAACUGAAGGAGAAGAUUGUACAUCCCAGGGCUGAAAAUGCUGUCUGCCCCUUGCUGGAGCUGCCUAUCUGUCCCGUGGGGUCAUUCUGGGGUGCUGGGAAUGGCCUAAGGGCUUCACGGAGUGCCGGGGUUGACUUCUAGAGACAAGCAAAACCCUCAGGGGGCAGAUAAUUAGCAGUGCACAAGAGAUACAGCCAACUCAGAAAAACCCAUCCUUCCUGGCUGUGUGACCUUGAGCAACAGGUGCAUCUGCCAUCCUACACCGAAUUUGGCUUUCUACAGGACCAUGGAGGUCUUCAUAGAGCCUGGCCCAAGGGAUCUACUCUCUUCUGAUGGAUAGUGCUCUGUGACAUGACCUGAUGCUGCUCCUCAGUGGGACCUGUACCUGUUAACAAGUACAUGCUUACAUGUGUGUGUGUUGGGGGUCACCUCAUCGGCCAAAGCAUAACUACCCCUUGCAGGUGAGAGUGUCUUGUAAGCAAGAUGAGAUUUUCCUGGUAGGAUUUCUGGGGAGUACAGGACAAGUGGAUGAGCCCUAUGAACCAGGCAUGUUGAUCCUCCAAGCUGAUAUUAUAAGGGCUAUGAAGAGGACUCCCCCCCACCCUCCCAGAACCACACUGGGCACCCUGCAGAUUUGAGGGUGGGCAGAGAAGAUCUGGAGAGGAUGGAUAUGGUCUCAGGAACAUCCAGCUCACUGCAUGGAUGCCUCCAGCGCCAAGUGGGGCAGAGAUGAUGCUGGGAGUGGAGUGAUAGAAGCUGGCCUAGGAUCUAGAGAAGAGGAAGAGAAGGAUAUGGAGGACCAGUCUCUUGGAAGUGGAGGAGGGGAGAGAUAUCUAGGCUGCUUUGGGUAAGGGGAACAGCCUGAGCUGGGACCACUGGCCUGAAGGUAGAGAAGGAAGAGGAGAUUUUGAUCAGAUUGGGGAACCCUGGUCUUGGUGCCCAGUGUCCCAGCUUAGCUUCGGGCCAUGGUGGGGCUCUCUUGGAAUGAUGGCUUCCCAUUCCAGGGCUUCUCCUGUUCCUCCAUUUGACCUGUGCCCUGUGUUACCUCAGUUCCUUGCUCACUGGAUGACUCCCAAAGCACGGAGCUUGGUCCUGGCAGGAGAUCUGACCUGCUCCACCGCUGCAGCUCUCACUGCACCCACUUUAUGCUUCUAGGGUUUUCUCUUUUGCCAAGAAGCAGUUGAUCUCCAGCAUCCAUCCUCAGACCUCCCACUUUUAAGUUGCAUCAGGAUACUUGCUGCUUUCUGUGGCGCCUGGUAGGACACAUCUAUCCAGUCAUCCUGAAUUGCCACUCCUGGCUGGGGGCUGACUGGGGAGACUGCCAUGGCUGGUGGGGAGGGGAGAUGCUAGAGUCCUGGGGAGAAGUGAGAGUCUUGGGAAGGAGAGAGGAAGGGGCUGGUUGCAGGAGAUGCCAAGGGGAGGGGACCAGCCCCUGGGUGGUGGCAAAAGACUGAACUCUGUGUGUGUGUGUGUGUGUGUGUGUGUGUGUGUGGUGUUUGGGGGAGGGGAUGUACUGCCUGGAACAGAAGCUGCUCAGAGAUCAACUAAUAUAGUACCUCCACCUUUAAUAAUGAGAAGACUAAGGCCUAAAGAGGAAAGAGAUGGUGUUGCUGGAGGGGUUGGGGGUGGGGGGGAGUCCUUUGGCUUCUGGACCCAGGCCCAGUCCUCUCUGGGAUGUGAGUCCCUCCUAUUCCUCUCUCUGUCCCUAAGCGUGGACUAUGGACCUGGGGCAGCAGAUGUGAUAUCUGUGCCCACAGGCACAUGUUUGGCGACAGCAGUGUGGAAGGCCUCUUUCUCUGCCAAGUUCACUUCCUGCUGGACUACCUGGUUCCUGCUUGUGGCCCCUCCAUCCCUCUAGCCUAGAACCAACCCAAUUCCAGAUCUUUGCUCAGCUCAUUGGUGCCAGAGCAACACACCUUUCUUCAGCCUAGGAUGCAGAUAGGAAAUGUGCUGGGCAUUUGGGGGUUUUCUUGGGUUAAGGACUGACACAGUGCAUGGCAGAGAGGAGCUUGUCAUGGGUGGGGUGGGGGCUGGGUCCUAAUUCCUAGGGCUCUGCUAGCAGCCCAGGUUUUGGUCUCCUAAAACUCAGUAUCUAAGGCCUCAGUUUCUUGAGCAUGCUUCCUGGUUGCCAUGGUUGCCUGAUGCUUUGGACAUGAUCAGUGACCAGCUGUGUGGCCACUCCCUGGACCUUGAGAUGUUGGAGGCCGUUGGAUGGGCAUUGCUGGACAGAGACCCUCACCAUUAACUUCUUCACACAAGACUUCCCCUAAUGGCCCCUCCCUCUGUGCUGAUAUGGCCCCCAUCCCUUUCCCUACAUGGAGGGACCCCAGUGAGUCAUUCCUCUAUAAUGCCAACACCAGGCUUCCCUCCCCAGUGCCUCCAAUACACCACCUGUCUAUCUCCCACGUCCCACUCUUCCUCCUCCUGUCUUUACCUGUUUCCCUUGGUAACUCUCUGGAGCCUGGGGAAGCCUUCUCAGGACAAGAUGGUCCUUCAUGACCAGAUCCUUCUCACCAAGGGGCCUCCAAUCUCAGCCCCCCAAGGGAUGGGGAUGCUGCCAAGGUGAGAGUGUGGGUGAGAUCCUGGGGAACACGGUGACCCAAGCCCGAGGUGCUGCCCAGACUUUUCCCCCAACUGUAUUAGUUUUCUGGGGCUGCCAUAACAAGUUACCACACACUCAGUGCCUUAAAACAACAUAAAUUCAUUCUCUCAUGGUUCUGGAGGUCAGAAGUCUGAAAUUAGUUUCCCUGAGCCAAAAUCAACGUGCAAGGGGAGCUGUGCUCCCUCCAGAGGCUCCGGAGGAGAAUCCAUUCUUUGCUUUCGUCCAGCCUCUGGUGGCCACUCUGAUCUCUCUCACAUUGUCUCCUCUUUGCUGCCUCCCUCUUUUAAGGAGACUUGGGAUUGGGCCUCAUGUCUCUGGGAGGUCAUUUUUCAGCCUCCUACACCACCCUUCACCCAAAUGCACACACUCACAGUUGUUGAUCGCUUGGUCUAGGAGCUGUGGAAAUCAGCCAGGAAAGGAGUUGAGAAGUAGGAGAGGGCCCGGGACUAGCCCUAGGCCAAAGGCUUAGUAGCUUCUGGGUGGGCCUACCUGGGAGUGGGAGGGGGGAGCAGCAAAGUCUGGGGGGAACUGCCACAUUUUUCCCCAAGUUGUACAUCCCAAAUAGUAUUUGCCCAAAGACCUCUUUCAUGCCACCUGCCCCACUUGCGGGUUGGGAAGCACUAGGGGUUAUGGGUAAGAGCCUGGGUAGUCAGGCCCUGGGGCCAAGGUAGGCUGAGGCAUCACCACUUACCAGUUGUGGUUCUCAAAAUGUGGGCUAGGGCCAGCAGCAUUAACAUCAUCUGGGAGUUUAUUAGAAAUGCAAUUUCUUGGGGGGAGCGCCUGGGUGGCUCAGUUGGUUAAGUGUCCAAC